rnacentral:rRNA from 1 species
CGAGGGGUAUUUAUCUUCGGAUAGAGAGACCGGCGCACGGGUGCGUAACGCGUAUGCAAUCUACCUUUUACAGAGGGAUAGCCCAGAGAAAUUUGGAUUAAUACCUCAUAGUAUAAUGACUCGGCAUCGAGAUAUUAUUAAAGUCACAACGGUAAAAGAUGAGCAUGCGUCCCAUUAGCUAGUUGGUAAGGUAACGGCUUACCAAGGCUACGAUGGGUAGGGGUCCUGAGAGGGAGAUCCCCCACACUGGUACUGAGACACGGACCAGACUCCUACGGGAGGCAGCAGUGAGGAAUAUUGGACAAUGGGCGCAAGCCUGAUCCAGCCAUGCCGCGUGCAGGAUGACGGUCCUAUGGAUUGUAAACUGCUUUUAUACGAGAAGAAACACUGCUUCGUGAAGCAGCUUGACGGUAUCGUAAGAAUAAGGAUCGGCUAACUCCGUGCCAGCAGCCGCGGUAAUACGGAGGAUCCAAGCGUUAUCCGGAAUCAUUGGGUUUAAAGGGUCCGUAGGCGGUUUAAUAAGUCAGUGGUGAAAGCCCAUCGCUCAACGGUGGAACGGCCAUUGAUACUGUUAAACUUGAAUUAUUAGGAAGUAACUAGAAUAUGUAGUGUAGCGGUGAAAUGCUUAGAGAUUACAUGGAAUACCAAUUGCGAAGGCAGGUUACUACUAAUGGAUUGACGCUGAUGGACCGAAGCGUGGGUAGCGAACAGGAUUAGAUACCCUGGUAGUCCACGCCGUAAACGAUGGAUAC